CUUGGCGGCUAUAGCGCUUUGGAACCACCUCUUCCCAUUCCGAACAGAACCGUGAAACGAAGUUGCGCCGAUGAUAGUGUGUUUUCACAUGUGAAAGUAGGUCACCGCCAAGC
rnacentral:rRNA from 1 species